AGCUGAAAUUUGGAAAGGGGAGAAGAAAUAGUGAAAAAAAAAAAAAAAAAGAAAAAAAGGGAAAACGUCCAAAGUGAACGGAACGUAAAUGUUCCACGAUGUCCCGCGAAGCCGCCGGUGCUGGGACCAGCCCGCUCCUCCCGCCACCGGGGCUGCGGGCUGCUCCCGUCCCGCCGCAGCGCCGGGCACCGAGGGCCGGCCAGCAGACCUCUGCGGAUCCAGUGACUGGUUAUUUAGUGCUCUCCGAAGUUCCCACUUGCAGAGAGGUAGAUGCUGGGGCUCUGCAUGCAGACCUUCCGUCAUGUCUAGGAAGAGAACCAACAUGCCAGAAAGCCUGUUUCCAGCAAUCUUGCCUUAAAAACCACCACAACAACAAAACCCAAACUGAUAGGAGCAAGAUGGGUUUUGUCUCCAAGAAACAGGUCUCCUGUGGGAGCAAACGGCAAAAGUUUUGUGGCUUUCAGUGGAGACAAGAUCAAGGCCACAAUAACACACCGGCCAAGCUCUUGUUAUUCCUCCAGUUGGUGCCUGAAUCUUCCCCGGAGUAGCAUGUCAAGUGUGUGUCCAUGUGAACGAGUUAACGUGAAAGACCAGUCCUAAAAGAAGCACUUCAACUAUUUUCUUUUUUCUUUUUUCUUUUCUUUUUUUUUUUUUUUAAUUUUUUUAAAGGUAUGAGUAUUAACGUCUUUCAUUCUGCAAGAGCGGCUGCGAAACCGAAGCCCAUCAGCUCUUUGUGGCUUCCACUGCUGGAAUACUGGCAUUAGCUGUACCUGAUCCUGGCUCCCAGUGAAUGCAUUUUAAUUGUAAUAAAACACAAACUGAACCAUAUGUGCA
rnacentral:lncRNA from 1 species